rnacentral:rRNA from 1 species
UACGAAGGGUGCAAGCGUUACUCGUAAUUACUGGGCGUAAAGCGUGCGUAGGUGGUUUGUUAAGUCUGCUGUGAAAGCCCCGGGCUCAACCUGGGAAUGGCAGUGGAUACUGGCAAGCUAGAGUGCGGUAGAGGGGUGUGGAAUUCCCGGUGUAGCGGUGAAAUGCGUAGAGAUCGGGAGGAACACCAGUGGCGAAGGCGGCACCCUGGACCAGCACUGACACUGAGGCACGAAAGCGUGGGGAGCAAACAGG